CCUACGGGGGGCAGCAGGCGCGAAAACUUUACAAUGCAGGCAACUGUGAUAAGGGAACCCCGAGUGCCCGUAUGGACGGGCUGUUCAGGUGCUUAAAAACCACCUGGAGAAAGGGCCGGGCAAGACCGGUGCCAGCCGCCGCGGUAAUACCGGCGGCUCGAGUGGUGGCCACUAUUACUGGGCUUAAAGCGUCCGUAGCUUGGUCGUUAAGCCUCUGGGGAAAUCUUCCGGCUCAACCGGAAGGCGUCUCAGGGGAACUGGCGACCUAGGGAUCGGGAGAGGUGAGAGGUACUCUGGGGGUAGGAGUGAAAUCCUGUAAUCCUCAGGGGACCACCUGUGGCGAAGGCGUCUCACCAGAACGACUCCGACAGUGAGGGACGAAAGCUGGGGGAGCAAACCGGAUUAGAUACCCGCGUAGUCC
rnacentral:rRNA from 1 species